rnacentral:rRNA from 1 species
CCUACGGGAGGCAGCAGUGAGGAAUAUUGGUCAAUGGGCGUAAGCCUGAACCAGCCAAGUCGCGUGAGGGAUGAAGGUUCUAUGGGUCGUAAACCUCUUUUAUAAGGGAAUAAAGUGCGGGACGUGUCCCGUUUUGCAUGUACCUUAUGAAUAAGGAUCGGCUAACUCCGUGCCAGCAGCCGCGGUAAUACGGAGGAUCCGAGCGUUAUCCGGAUUUAUUGGGUUUAAGGGGUGCGUAGGCGGCUUGUUAAGUCAGAGGUGAAAGUUUGUGGCUCAACCAUAGAAUUGCAGUUGAAACUGGGAGGCUUGAGUAUGUUUGAGGAAGGCGGAAUGCGUGGAGUAGCGGUGAAAUGCUUAGAUAUCACGAAGAACCCCGAUUGCGAAGGCAGCUUGCCAAGCCAUGACUGACGCUGAUGCACGAAAGCGUGGGGAUCAAACAGGAUUAGAUACCCUUGUAGUC